UUCGCGCAAAGCAAUGACUGUAAAUUACUAAAUCACAGAAAAUCUUGUCCAUUUCCUCUCAAUUUUACGUUUUCUUUCACGUAUUUCAGUUCAUAGAAAGUUGCAUUAACCAUUUUUUAAAGCUCUAGUCUGUAUCGAAACCCGAAAGCACAGAAAUUUUUGUGCUUCGAGUUUGAAAACCCGUACGUUUGCAUAAAUCGCGUGUGCAGCGUUAUUGUGAAUAUAUGCAUGGAGAUAUGCGCAGCUUUUUUUUUCAUUCUUCAACUUUUUUUUUUUUUUUUGUGUAAAUUGUGAUUUUAAUUCCAUUAUAGGUUUAGCUUGCAAGGAAUGCUGAAAGGACCACGGGAUUGCGGUGGAGUACAGUGAGGUGACGGCGUCACCGUUAAUUCUGGUAAUGUUGUUGCACUUUUAAUGGAGUUCUACUAAAAAUAUGUUAAUUUCCUUUCCAUUUUUUUAUCCCGGUAGUUUCUCAAUAUUCAAAAGACGAGUCAAACGACAUAUUUCCUUUAUUAUUUGCUCUUUUAUUGCCUUUAUCAUUUUUGUCGAAAAGGAAAUUGAAGAGGUAUAAUAGAAUCUUAAGUAUUUUUGAUAUCUCGUUCCCUCAUUCUUUUGAGCUUCCAUUGCAGCUCAAUACUGGUAGCUGCACUUCCAUUGCUGGAUCUGUUGCAAGCAAUCUUUCUGAGUGCAUUUUGACCACAUAUCGGUGCUUUUGAGUGUAUUUUGAUGGGACUGCAUGUGUGCAAGCU
rnacentral:lncRNA from 1 species